rnacentral:rRNA from 1 species
ACGGGAGGCAGCAGUGGGGAAUAUUGGACAAUGGGGGAAACCCUGAUCCAGCGACGCCGCGUGAGUGAAGAAGUAUUUCGGUAUGUAAAGCUCUAUCAGCAAGAAAGAAAAUGACGGUACUUGACUAAGAAGCCCCGGCUAACUACGUGCCAGCAGCCGCGGUAAUACGUAGGGGGCAAGCGUUAUCCGGAUUUACUGGGUGUAAAGGGAGCGUAGACGGCGAUGCAAGUCUGAAGUGAAAGCCCGGGGCUCAACCCCGGAACUGCUUUGGAAACUGUAUAGCUAGAGUGCAGGAGAGGUAUGUGGAAUUCCUAGUGUAGCGGUGAAAUGCGUAGAUAUUAGGAGGAACACCAGUGGCGAAGGCGACAUACUGGAUUGUAACUGACGUUGAGGCUCGAAGGCGUGGGGAGCAAACAGGAUUAGAUACCCUGGUA